rnacentral:lncRNA from 1 species
UACUCUGAUGGUUAUGGGCUUUGUGGCAAGAAGGGUAGCAUAAGUAGCAUACAAUUAUUUUUCCAACAAGCAAUAAUGUUCCCUCACCCCUUUCUAUAACUGUGAAAAAAUCCACAAGAAGUCUCAUGUCUCUUAAUCCAAUGCCAGAAGCCCCAACCAAAAUCAUUUAGGCUGACAUGGACAGUAAGCUCAGUAGGUAUCAAUCAAUGUGUCUAUUGUCCCAAGGGCAUGCAACUGUUUUGUUGUUCAUUUGGCUUGAUUAAAUUACUCAGUACUCCAGUCAGUCCAGUCCUAUAAUGUACCCCUCCUGCACAAAUUACAUAGGGAUCAUUAUAACUGACCCAGAUGAGGGAAUGGAAGCCCUCCAAUGGCCCAGUAGCCCCACAAAUUCUUGUAUUUGCUUACUAUGUUGGGAGGUAGACAUAUUUGAGCUUCAUCUAUAACAACUUGAGUUAUAACCUCUGUUUUACUUGACCAUACAACACCAAUAAGCCAGGCCCCUGCACUUUUUCAGGAUUUACAAAUAUUAUCUUCUCCUUUGCAAGUCAGUCAAAAGCAUGGGGGUAGCCUUGGUGUGCACUGAAAGAAAAUCAGAUAUGAUCAUUAUGUAAAUAUUUUUACCAGUGGAGGUUGGGACCAGGUUUAUUACCAUAUUAUGAAACAAGGUGGGGAUAUCCUUGAGGUAAUAUGGUGAAAGUCCAUAGUCUGCUUUCCCACAUGAAGGCAAAUGGGUCUCAACCCUCAGAAGUUGUAUCUGUGCUAAAAGGGGCAUUAUCAAAGUCUAGCACAGAGACUUUGCUGUGCUCUUCUCAUGUGGCUAUGAUGAGAAUGACUGCAUAGAGGUAUCACCCUAUUUAAUUUCCUAUAGUCUACUGCCAUGUGCUGAGUUCCAUCCUGCUUUCUUACCAGCCAGCUAUGUAAGGGUUAAAAUUACUGUGGAGCUGGGUGUGGUGGCAUACACCUAUAAUCCCAGCACCUCUGUUCGGGAGGCUGAGAUAGGAGGAUGUCGAGUUCAAAGCCAGCCUCAGCAACAGCAAGGCACUAAGCAACUCAGUAGACCCUGUCUCUAAAUAAAGUACAAAAAGCGGGUUGAGGAUGUGGCUCGGUGGUUGAGUGUCCCUGAGUGCAAUCCCUGGUACCCCCCUCACACCAAAAAAAAAAAAAAAAAAAAGAACUGUGGAUUGUGUGAAUUAUAUUUACUUUAGCUAAUGCAUUUAUGGUCUCUGUUAUCUCUUACUGGCCUCCAGGGAGCUGAUCUUGUUUGGUAGCAAAAAUUCAGCAGGAGGCCAGCAAAACAAUAGGGAGAUGUUUAGCACUCUCUCUUAAUAUUUCUUAGUAUUUACUUUACAGAUAACACAUUCUUAACAGCUGACACAUCUCCUGGCAAACAGGGCUCCCCUAUUGUGGUUUGUAAACAUUUACCCCAUAAGGUAUCAACACCUAUACUGUAUACAGGAUGGAAGCUAUGAACUCCAGGUAUGGAGUGGGUAGCAGGUGUUCAAGUUGCAACAUCAGUGUUACAACUCUGACUCUCACUGUUUCCCCAUAUCCAUCAAUAGCAGUUAAUCUGUUUGAAAAUUUGUCAGGAUUACCAUUUAUUAAUGUACCUUCAGUUCUCAUGUCCAGUGCUGUUAUCUUCUGCAUAUUUUUUGAAGAUUAAUGUGUUACUGAUUCUACGUAUGGUCACUGAUCCAGAGACAUAGCUCAGACCCCUGAAUUUUGACCUCCUCCUAGUUGUCC